rnacentral:rRNA from 1 species
GUAGGUGGCAAGCGUUGUCCGGGAAUUAUUGGGGCGUAAAGCGCGCGCAGGCGGUUCUUUAAGUCUGAUGUGAAAGCCCACGGGCUCAACCGUGGAGGGUCAUUGGAAACUGGAGAACUUGAGUACAGAAGAGGAAAGCGGAAUUCCACGUGUAGCGGUGAAAUGUGUAGAGAUGUGGAGGAACACCAGUGGCGAAGGCGGCUUUCUGGUCUGUAACUGACGCUGAGGCGCGAAAGCGUGGGGAGCAAACAGGAUUAGAUACCCUGGUAGUCCACGCCGUAAACGAUGAGUGCUAAGUGUUAGGGGGUUUCCGCCCCUUAGUGCUGCAGCUAACGCAUUAAGCACUCCGCCUGGGGAGUACGGCCGCAAAGGCUGA